AGUAAUGAACCCUGCAUAUUACAGAAAAAGCAUAAAACAGUUUAAAACGAAAGCGAAAAGUGUUACGAAAGGUCAACUGAAAGCAGUACUAGGACUAAUAGAAAAGGUCACAGUAGUCAGAAAGUGCUGAUAACGUGAGAAAGGUCACCACGUUACAGUGAUAGAAAAGGCAGCAGGAGCUAGGAAAGUCUCAGCUCAGUAACGGAAUAGGCGUAAAAAUGAUAGAAAGCCUUAACAUGGAAAGGAUUAACGUCGAAAAGGUUACUAUGAUGGAUUGUUUUAUAAUUGCAGAUUGAAGAGAAAGAUGGCACAAAAAGGUCAAGCCCCUUCUAAACGUUCGGGAAUGGCGGCAGACAUCGAUCAGUUUACGGGCUAUAAUCCAAAGUGUCCGGACUGCUUAAGGAACAACAAAAAGGUUGACAAGAAAUUCCCUUGCUACACUUGUAUUCACAAGCUGGAAGACCCACAUACCGUCACGCUUGUUGGGAUCAUGGAAGCCAAACGUGGGAACUUGGACGUUUUUCGAAAUCUCAUAAGCGCAAGAAAUUACGGCAGCAUCCCAGUAGAAGAGCGAAUGCUAUUCGAAGAUCGUUACCGAGAAGCGAUCCGAAACAACGAACCUGGCUGGGAUGACACCUUGGAGCCGUUGAAGUGUCCACAGACAGACGCGUAUCGGAAGAAAUUUGAAGAAGACCAAGCGAAGAUGCGAGCUCAGCAGAUGGAAGACGAAAUCCGCGCGAAAAUUAAUGCGGAAAAUAAGAGAGCAAGUGAACAGGCUGCACGAGAGGGGCUGCCCAGCACAUCGAGUUUAGUUGCACCUACGGGCAUGGCCAGCCUUAACGAAGACGAAAUGCAACUUGUACGACAAUCACUUAUCAUACAAAUUGAAACGAUAACGAAAGAUCCAGCUGCCAUGUCAGACGAGGUAUUCAAAUGCUGUUGCGGGAGAAGAAACGACUUCAAGACGGGUUCGCGCCGGCACCCUACAUAAAGAAGGAAGUCGAAAGACGUAUGGAUGACCUACGUAAAUCUCGCCGAACCGAAAGCGAUGUGCUGCAGGCAUUAAGAAAUGUUAAACGGGACGAAGGCUUUAUACGACCACGUUCGCCCCCGCAUAGAGAAAGGUCACGCGGACAUUCACGAGAAUAUGAGCGAACUUCUGAACGACAGAGAGAAAGGUCACGCGAACACUCUCGUGAAAGGACACGUGACUACCGCAACGAAAGGUCACGCGAACGUUCUCAUGAUAGAGAUUACCGUGGCGGAAGAGGAUGGGUGCGCCAUGGAGACGAAGUUACGGAAAUGAGUAUUCAAAAACGGCGUGCGGAGACGUUCCGUGCAGAGCCUGAAAAACAAGGGCAUCAGGUGCCGAUGGGAGUUGCAUUCCGGAACCGCAAUGUCAGGAUGUCAACACCCGAAAGGUCAUGGGAUAAAAGACGUGAACAUACGCGAAAUCGAACGCCUGACCCACAGGAUAAGAGAUGGCAACAGAGAGCCGCAUUUUAUGCGACCUUUGACUCGGGCGCAAGUAAAAGGUCAUCAAGCACUGAACGAGAAGAUUCACCCCCAAAGUAUCAGCGGGUGGAGUCAGUGGUUCACGUUGUGGAAAUGGAAGGGACCAGCUCGAUUGCGGAAACGUCUCAAGAGAACGUGACCCAUCGACGAAAUGUAAUUCUGGAUAGUGACCUCCAACCGGAACAACCGGCGAGUAACGAACCGUCGCAGCCUGAGUCGGGAGAGCGACGGGAACCAGAAGGUCAACGAGAACCGGAUAAUCAUCGCCGGGCUGAUCAGCGACAGAACUCCAGAUUUGACAACCGACGUCCUGAAAGUAUCGACAUGGAAUACAAGACGACUGAUAUUGAUGAGCAAACGGUCGAAAUUUGUCGAUACUUUGGACUUGAGCCGGAUUCGGUUGAAGCCAACAAAAUUGGCACAAUUCUGAGACAGUUGAGCCAAUUCUUACUUGAUUCGGGAUACGCGAGAGAGAUUAAACAAGGAGUCGAACAAGGACUUUUCCGUCGUUUAUUCAUCCACCGCGAUUCAGUACGGGACUGUUAUCUCCCUAUCAGACGGAAUGGGCUACACAGUUUGGUGGAUUUAAGUUUAUUGGAUGUACCGCUGGACACAACUGACCCAAUCGGGAUGACACAGUUCUACUACAGAGACUAUCCCGAACGCCAAGAAUACGUGGCUCAGUUUGUUCUACGACAUGUGAAUCCAGCUUUCAAGUUGCUUGCAGCAAGGGCAUCGAUAGGACUACAGGUGGAUCCUAAGGACUAUGCCGCAAAAAGGAUGGGGCAAAAGGUCUUUGCUGCGAGACUGGCACAUUACAAGACACAAAAUCAAUUGGUGUCUAAUACCAUGAAAGAUGACAUUCCACCGUUCUUCCGAGCUCAUGUCGCUAAAUUGGGACAACCGAUGGAACAUAUCAGCAUAGCGCAUACGGCUCGCAAGGCGCUGAAAAAGUGCAAGACACGAAUGGAAAAGGGCAACUUGACACAGCGCCACGCAUCCCAAGUUGAAGAAAGGAUUAAUAAGAUCAAAGAUUCUCUGGGAAGUGAAUACGUCGAACCGGUGGACGGAAUCGAAACUUACAUUGAUGAAUUCUUGGUGAAGAAAAGUGACCGUCGCCCAGACCGUGCGCCUAACCAGAUGGGACGACGCGGCAUACGAAACCAACAGCUGCGGGAUAAUCUCGCCGACGUGCAGCGUCGAUUGGCAGAUGACCCUGAUAAUCGAAGGCUGCGACUGGAAGAAAAUGAUGCGCGCCAUCGACUAGAGGCGGUUAAGCGCAGUCGCCAAGGGAAGGGUCGUGGCCAGCGCGAAGUUGAUCCGACAAAGGUCAUGGAAGUUGACUCGACGGAACCAGUUGACCGAACUUCCGAUCGAAACCAACCGGAAAGCGCUAAGAAACGCCCGCCGAGAGAUGGCGAGGGCGAUUCAAAUGAAAUGGAAUAGUGUUGACCUUUAGGAUCACACUAUUGAAAGGACGUCUACGGCAUUUGUCGCGUUUAUAGCACAGAAUUGCCUAAAAGAAAUCAUGUGGAAUAUCUAUUGGGGUUGAAAUUGAUUCGGUCUAUAAAGCCGGCCCCAAGGGAGUUGCUACGGCAGUUAGCCGGCCCUCCUCUCUAAGCGACUCAGUGUUAUAAAUGCACAAGAGAAACUACGGUAAUCAAGCCGGAUCUCUUGAAUACGAAACGGGGCCACAAGCGGCGAAAAAGAGAAAGACAACAGGUGGAAUAUUGAUGAGGUUAACUUAAUGCGGCAAUUAGCCGGCCUCAUUAGAGUUGUUACGGUAAACUAUGCCGGCACUCUUUUCAAGCGAUUCAGUGUUAUAAUUAAAACGAGAAAAACUACGGUAAUCAAGCCGGAUUUCUCGUACUAACGUAAGCCACAAGCGGCGAACAAGAGUAAAAGAUUUAAGAUGGAAAUUUCAUGGGGUAAACUUAAUGCGGUAACUAGCCGGCCCCAUCAGAGAUGCUACGGUAAACUUGCCGGCACUCUGGCCGCUCGAGGCAUAUUGAAGUUGGAUGUGCGACGGAAAGGUCAAACUGCAAAUUUUACCAGGAAGGCAAGCAAAGAAGUGCUUGAAGCCGCAGAAAAUCGGCUAAGUCCCUCCAUGACCUUUAACAGAAGUUUUGACGAGUGGGAUGACCUUUGGGAUCAUCAAUUGCCCAAUAGAGUCACCGUAUCGGAAUUCAAGUCGCAUGACCUUUGGGACCAUUAACCCAAAACGAGUCGCACAUCUCAACGGAUCAUCUCAACAAAGGAUGACCUUUACCAGGGAGGAAGCGAACUACGCUUGUCUUCAUUGACGUCCCUCCAUGACCUUUAUUGGAUCUCAUUUUGAAGUCGUACGAAUGAUACGCACCAUAUUCCAAAGAUUGAAGCAGUACUCCUAAGUCGUACUUGAUACGCACCUGAUUCUCAAGCGGAUUGUGAUGAAAAGUCGCACUACGGAUGCGCGGACUUGCUCAACAGAGCGGAAUGGGCCAAAGUGCAGAAAACGGUGGACAGGACCUGUGACCUUUGCGAGUCAGAAAUGGAGGAUCCUAGUCUACAAUUUGAUUAAUACUUUUGUUGAUCUGUUAUUGUUGAUCUGUUCCUAAUGAUUUGAUAGUAUUUUUAUAAUUGGAUCUCUUUAUUUCACAUUGUAUUAAACAGAAUUGUGCCUUUACGGAAUUGAUGUGAUAACAUGGACUAAGAGAAUUUGAUGUUCUUGAGCACGCACAGACACCGGCGACCGUCGUUUUCGUGGAUUUGGGAGUGUGUCCAGCCUCACAGGAGCUCGGCAUCCCCCCAGAGGCAUGUGAGCGGGGUUCACUAGCGUUCACGUCCGCAACGCUACGCCACUGGAUUACGUGUCUGUGUUGUGUCUCUUCUGAUUGGCUUGAGUUGUGUUAGUGGGCGCGGCAUAGCACGUGCUGCACAGUGUUACACACUGUUGAAUGGGCUCCACGCUUUACGAUCGAGCUGCGCCGAUCAUUAUUGAUUUUCUGUUGUCGGAAUUUUCAAUUAAUUAAAAGUCAGCUAUUAGCGGUG